GACGAACGCUGGCGGCGUGCCUAAUACAUGCAAGCUGAGCGCUGAAGGUUGGUACUUGUACCAACUGGAUGAGCAGCGAACGGGUGAGUAACGCGUGGGGAAUCUGCCUUUGAGCGGGGGACAACAUUUGGAAACGAAUGCUAAUACCGCAUAAAAACUUUAAACACAAGUUUUAAGUUUGAAAGAUGCAAUUGCAUCACUCAAAGAUGAUCCCGCGUUGUAUUAGCUAGUUGGUGAGGUAAAGGCUCACCAAGGCGAUGAUACAUAGCCGACCUGAGAGGGUGAUCGGCCACAUUGGGACUGCGACACGGCCCAAACUCCUACGGGAGGCAGCAGUAGGGAAUCUUCGGCAAUGGACGAAAGUCUGACCGAGCAACGCCGCGUGAGUGAAGAAGGUUUUCGGAUCGUAAAACUCUGUUGGUAGAGAAGAACGUUGGUGAGAGUGGAAAGCUCAUCAAGUGACGGUAACUACACAGAAAGGGACGGCUAACUACGUG
rnacentral:rRNA from 1 species